AAGUAAACCCAACCACAAAAAAAUGGUAUUGUUAAUUCUAAAAUGCAAGUAUAAGCAGAGAUUGUUCAACAGGUAGAGAGAGGGGCACAGUAAAUAUUUGCAUUUUUACACUGUCUUGCUUCAAGGAAUGAAAGCCAAGUAAAGAGUGUUGGAAACAACAGCAAGCUUGCAUAGGCGACAAAAUUCUUCAAACCUGAAUUCCAAGUCCUGUCAGCAUCCCCUCAGCAGAUGAGCUUUGAAGAAGACUGGGAUCCGAACACUGGCAGCGCCACAUGAAUGGGGUUCAGGACAUUGACAUUGCUUGUUUUUUUUAGCAUUCUGUGAAUUUCCUAUUACAUCAGUUUCAUGAUUCAGCAUUUUCCUUUUCAUUUAUUUACAGUAAUAUAUAGCGAGAUAACCUAAGCUCGAUCGCAGGAUCCUGGAACAUAAGGUAGGCUGGGCAGCAAGGGUGUAGCCUUCUGUAAAUUUACUAUUUGCUUAGAACUCAGGGACAAAUGGGAGAAAGCAAGUCAUCCAAAGAACUGGGAAAUAUCUCCUCACCUUACUCUGAGGGUCUUCAUUUCUGUGGUAUUUAAAAUAGGUUACUGCCAUCUAGUUUGUAAGUCUAACAGAAGGCAAGAAGUGUGUAAACUGCGAACUGAUGUGCAUAAGCCAAACGCAGCUCUGAAAUGACAACGUUCAAGACGCAACUAAAGUCACCACUCUGGCGUGAUUCAGAAGUGGGCGAACUCCACCGUCUCCUGUAAACAUGUAACAAGGUGAAGCCUGGAGAUAAACUUAGAACUCCUACAAAGAUUAUUCUCCUUUCUGGAAAAAACUAUAAAUUUUCAACAAGGACAUAAAUGUGAGUGUCUUGUGGAAAAGAAUAAAGCAAACUCCUGAAAAUGUGGAGCAGGUAAAUCUGCAGGAGAGAAAAUCCUCCAGGAAGAGUCUCGAGAAUGUUCAUGGCGAUAGCAUAUGACUAAUCCACUGUAUCUACCCAAACGUCCAUCAACGAGGAUGUUGUAUGAAUGAACUCAUACGAUGGAAUGCUGUAGAGGAUUGGAAAUCAGUGUCCUGCAACUACAUACAGCAUCGCAGGAGGCGCAGCCCUGAGGACACCCAAGGCAAACAUCCCCAGCGCUUGGCACACCCAGAACCUCCACCCACCCUCCAUUCCUCGGGAAAACGCGGAUGAUUCCUUUCUCCUCAUCUCUCUCCGGGAUUCUGGGGGAAUGCAUCUAUGAGAAUCCUCUCGGCCUUCAGGGUUGACUCAGUCGUGACGAUGUCAUUUCUCCUCCUCUUGGUCCUUCUGGCCAGCUUCCCUUGCUCCUCUAAAACUUUCCAAGGCAGAGUUCUACCUGUUCUCACCGCAGAACUCCUCAAGGCCAGGGAGACCCUGAAAAGAGAGGAAGCCAAAGAUGCUGGAGAUUUGUGUCUAUUGCGUUUGGCUCCUCUGUGUCCGGGCUCAGCAGGGCAUAAAUAGAUAAUCAAAGAUUCUUUUCUUUACUCAGACUUCUAUAGUCAGAGGCCGAGUCUUCUCUUGACUUUAUUUUUUCACUUGAUCUUAGCCAAAAGACCGAGAAGCCAUUUGACUUUGCUUCUUUAAACUUUCUAGAUUGCACUGAGAAUUCCUCCAGUGUUAUUUGGAAAUGUUUAAAGCUUUUAAGUCAACAGCCCCAGCAGUUAAUCAGAAAGUUAUGUGUGCAUUAAUAUAUAUGCUGAGAUACUUAAAAAUACAACCUUUAUGAUCUUUUACAGCGUAUGUAUGUGUAUGUGCGUCCACAUGUGCCAAGAGAAAUACAUAAUUGCAUGCAUAACCGAUCUAAGGAGCUAGGCUAGGGGAUUGGCCAGCUCACUGGCAUAGGCCUGAGUUUAAUUCCAGGAGUAACUUACAUGAUGAAUAUCUCUCUCUCCCUCCCCUAGCCCUGUGUGUGUGUGUGUGUGUGUGUGUGUGUGUGUGUGUGUGUGUGUGUGUGUGUGUGUGUUUGAGUAUAAGCGGGUAGGUUCUGUGAUCCACUAAACAUGGUCCCUGCCCCUCUCCCCCUCCAGUCUCAUGGAUGUGGCUUCCCCAAGCCCAUCUAGAUCACAUGAAGUUUUCAACCCCGUUAACAGAAGAAAUUACAACGAUCCAAAGUUUUCACUGGAAGUUAAGUAAGUCUGGAUUCUUGGUACAUAGCAUGUUGAUCUCAUGCAUAGCAUCAGACAGUUUAUAGAACUGUAUUCUGUGCUUGAAAUCUGCAAAUCUGGAGUGUAUACCCAUAUACACAUGCAGUAGUAACUGGGCGGUAGGAUGGAUAUGUAAAUUAAUUUGAUUGUCCCAAUCAUUUCACAAUGUAUAUGUAAAUCAAAUUAUUGUGCUGUGCAUCUUGAAUAUACAUGUUUUAUUUGUCAAUUGUACUUCGCUGAAUCUGGAAAAAGUGAUAAUAAUUGUGGACAAUUUUGCAAUCAAUGUCUACUAGUGUGAAUGACAUUAGGAUUUAUUUUUUUUAAGAUGGGGAUAGCAUUGUGCUCAGGUAGGAUUUACAGGUAGCAUUCUCUGAGACCCUCAUGGAUUGCAACUGUUCACCUGUAAAGAAUCUAGAACUAGGUGGUGGGCUAGCUAUGGGCUGUAAGCUGUGAACUGUCCCCUCCUGGGAAACAGGAAAGUCAGAUGCGCCUGGUGCCUACAGCCAAACCCUGCAAUCCUACAUCACCUUGGGUUCUGCCACUUUAUCUCCAUGAGUUUUUGUUCAUACUCUUUCCUGGGAUCCCCACCUUCUCAGGAAGGCUUUCGUGAUCCUACCUGUCCUUCAUGCUGUUUCAUGUGGCCUCAAGUUCUCAUGUUGAAAACCGACUCUCAGUGCUGCAGGGCCGAGAGAGACCUUGAAGAGACAAUCGUGCUGCUCCUUCUGAGGCCCUGAGUUUGAUUCCCAACAUCUGGCAGCUCACAACCACCUGUGAGGGCAACAUCAGGGGAUGUGAUACCUUCUCCUGGCCUCCAGAGGUACCCGUCCUCAGGCAGCUCUCUUAUUAAGACCUUGGAAUCUAUUAAAAGUCUCAUUUUGAAACAAUAAAGCAAGAGGAAGAAUUUAUGAAUUGUAGAUCUUCAGCAUUAACCCAACAACAGCCUUGGAGAGGAAAAGGAUUCUUCAGAGAGAAAAAUUAAUUCCUGCCAAGAAAAAUCUAGGAACAUAAGUUAGCGAGCCCUACCAGAUGCCUCUGACUACGCUGAGCAGGAACGAGGUACAUUCUAAUUUCUCAGGAAAAAGAAUUAUAGGCUAGCCUGUGCAUCGGGCAGCGUCCAGAAGGUUCCUCGGCCAGGUUCUCAAUCACAUGUGUAGCCCACAGUGAUGUCCUCCACAUCCAAGACCCCCUCUGAUCUUUGGAUCUGAUCGGUUCUGCGUUUGUCACCACGACUGAUGCAUCCAGACAUAACUCACCUCCUCCGAUCACUGGCGUAAUCUGCAUAGUGGAAGGCCAUGUUGUUUGCAAGAUUGGCUGUAAUGAAGCCUCAUGUCAGUGCCUGCCUGUCUCUGCAAUGUGAUGGUGUUGUCUACCACUAAGUGGUGUGAUCUAUUGAUUCCUCCCUGCAAGAGUUGAGAAAAACACUUAUCAAAAGAAUGCUAUGGAUGUGAUAUUUUGGCAACAGCUAAGCUUAGGCUUUAAGAAACCUUGCAGCUUCCAGUCUCACUGUCUUAGAACACAGACCACAUCAGAUAAGAAAGCCCAGGCUAGCCAUCUUGAAGACCAGACCUCUCAUUGACAGAGAACAGCUAACAGCCAGCAACAACUGCUAGUUGUAUUUUUGAGGACCACAAAACCAACAGAAUGUAUGCAGCCACUCCUUGAUAUCCGUUUACACUGGACUCUCUAGUUCCUGUCACACUGCCAGAUGAGAGUCGCUGCCCAAGUGACCCCAGAAGCGACCAAGCAGAAGAGCCACCCCACUGAGCCCAGCGCAAGACACUGACCUAAGAAUCAUGAACAAAUAAAACCGCUACGAUUUUGAAGAACUCAAGUUGGAGCCGUUUGUUACACAGCAGUGGGUGGAUGAAGAACAAUGAUAGAUACUUUAUAUCUGACACAAUGGCUUUAGAAAACUGACUGUUCUAACCCCUCUAACAACAGCCUCUGGGAUGGUGUUAACUUGUGAGGCUAAGAUGUUUCUUCUUGUUUCCUCCCCACAGCACCUUGUCACCUCUCACAGCAAUUCACACUGAGACUGGACUGUUUAACUUUGCUUUGCCAAAAGGAAUAAUAAAGGUCCUGAAAUGAUUGCUCAGCAACUGGCUGGCCCCAGGACGACGAUGGGUGUGGAGAUGGAAGGCAUCCCCAGUGGACCUCCUCUGCCCAGAUGAGUUGUGCCUAUGCUACCCAGCUGCAGCGCCAUUGCCAAGGGCCUGGAGCCUUCUGGGAGGCCACUGGGACAGGGACCGUUGGACACGAAUAGGGAUCUCCAGAGAAAUGAAACCAAAGAUGCUGGUACCCAAGAGGACUGGUUCAAAACCCACUGAGGAUGUCCAACUAUGCAUCAGAUGAUGUAGCUUUGCAUAGAACCCACACACAUCCUGCUAUAUUCCUGAGUCACCUCUAGCUUGCCCACAAUAUCUAGUACAGGGUAAAGGCUAUGCAGAAAGUUGUUAUGGUGUAAUAUUGAGGGGCUAAUGACAAGAAGAAAAAAAUCUACGUGAUCCUUGAGCACCAUUGUCUCCUGAACAUUUUUCAUGUGUGGUUGGUUGAAUCUGGGUAUGAAGCCUGUGGCACAGACCCGCUCCAAGGCAGACUGGAAGGAUGGGGAUACAGGCAAGUGUUUCAUUUUGAGUUCAAAGAUUGUCUGUGUGGGAGGUCUUCCUUUUUCCAUUACAUCCUUCACCUAGUUGGAUGAGGCUCACCCAUGUUAUUGAGGAUAUUUCAUUUUCCCCAAUGGCUAUGGACUUGCACAUUAAUGUUAUCUAAGAAAUGGCUCAGAGGGGUUAUGAGUGUAACUCAGGUGAUAGAGUCCUUACUUAGCAUGUGCAGAGCUCUGGGUUCAAUGCCCUGGACUGCAUGUAACCCCCUUGUGGUAUAUACCUAUAAUCCUGGCACCGAGGAGGUGGAGAAAGAAAGAUCAGACAUUUAAGGACAUUCUCAGAAACAUAGCAAGUUCAAGAUAGCCCUGUGCUGCAUUAGAUUGUCUCAGAAAUCUAAACAAGCAAGAGAGAGAGGGGGGAGGAGAGAGAGAGAAGGAGGAGAAGGAAGAGGAGGAAGAAGAGGAG
rnacentral:sRNA from 1 species